CAGCAACCAAUGCAGGAAAUAAACUUCUUAGACAUUAAAAUCAACAUCGAAAGAGGGAGACUUGUAACAUUAGUUUACAGAAAACUGUACUACCAAGCGGUCAUUAUACCCAGCUGGUCCCCGGACAAGAUGGCAUACAAAAAGGCAGCAUUAAGAGCAUAUUUUCGAAGGGCUUAUCAAUAUACAACGGGCCAGCAAGAUCUGAAAAUGAAAUUAACCAUAUUUAUCAAAUUGAGAGGAAGCAUGGCUAUAAAUAUGGAUUUAUGAAACAGAUACAAAGAAAAGUCAAAUUAAGCCUACUUAGCCCGCCACAUGAAAGACAUAAUGAAUCAUGCAAGAGAGGGAUGAGAGAUACGAAGUAUUACCUCAAAGGCUGGCUAACCGAGGGACUACUAGAACCAUCUUGAAUAAAACAAAGAAAAAAGUGACAAUACGUAGAGCCCCCACGGUAUUCAAUAGUAUAAGGAAUGACAAAGAAAAGAGGAGUCAAAUGCAGAGGUCAGG
rnacentral:lncRNA from 1 species